CCUACGGGUGGCAGCAGUCGAGAAUUAUUCACAAUGGGGGAAACCCUGAUGCUGCGACGCCGCGUGGGGGAAUGAAGGUCUUCGGAUUUUAAACCCCUGUCAUGGGGGAGCAAAUUAAGAAGAUAGUAGCACAAGAGGAAGAGACGGCUAACUCUGUGGCAGCAGCCGCGGUAAUACAGAGGUCGCAAGCGUUGUUCGGAAUCACUGGGCGUAAAGCGGGCGUAGGCUGUUUCGUAAGUCGUGUGUGAAAGGCUCGGGCUUAACCCGCGGACGGAACAUGAUACUGCGAGACUAGAGUAAUGGAGGGGGAACCGGAAUUCUUGGUGUAGCAGUGAAAUGCGUAGAUAUCGAGAGGAACACUCGUGGCGAAGGCGGGUUCCUGGACCUUAACUGACGCUGAGGCACGAAGGCCAGGGGAGCGAAAGGGAUUAGAUACCCCUGUAGUC
rnacentral:rRNA from 1 species